CAAUUUGGAAUUUCAUCUGAAGACACUUUCCACUUGUGACAACCUUUUUACUUGCUGAAUGACAUCUAUGUCCUCGGCUAAUAGAAAAGGAAAAAAAUCAAACCGGGUCCGAGCCUUCCAAUUUACUUUUUGUACCAAACCCUUCUUUUACCAAUUUCCAAACCAUAGUUUCUAAGAACCCUAGAUUCUAGCAAAUUGUUCUUCACACUCCCUUCUUGCAGUUUCUCCUCUAAAACACCGACUAGUCUGAAUCAUCAACCAGAAACAAACCCUUCUCUUUCGGAAUUCUAGUUACCAAAUUUCCAAAUUGAAAAAAACUUAUCAACGCUUCUUCGAUUCUCCUCUCCUCUGUUACUCACAGAGUUGCUUUGCUUUAGAGAGUUGAUGAGCUCGGGAUUCGAAGUGGGUGAGCUCGGGAUCCACCGUGGAUUAGCUUGAGAUAGCUACGGUGUUGUUUUAUAGAGUGGAUGAGCUCAAGAUUCGCUAUGGAUGAGUUCAUGAUUUGCUGUGUGUGAGUUCGGGAUCCGCCAUGGGUGAACUCGGGAUAGCUGUGGUGGAAUUUCAGAGAGUGGAUGAGCUUCAAGGUUGUUAUCUCUGAUUUCCUUUGUCCACGAAUCUUUGUCCACACAACCUUAACGACAGCUGUGGCGACGAAGCUGUUUUCUCCUUCGUUGUCUUGUCAAUGGAUGAGAUAUAGUAAUCAAAGGGUGGAGACGAGCCUGUGUGACGAAACGAAACAGAGUCUCCCCUGUCACCGCCAUGGUUGUGGAGCCUCUCAAUGCUGCCAUUCAGAUUCAUCAAUGGUGGGAACAUAACCCUAGUUCAUUACUGAUAAUGGUAGAGAGCGGGAGACUAGUUACUCGUUGGCUAGCUACUACACAUAUCAUUGGGUUUGUUUGUUAUUUCAGUUACCAGACUUUGGUCUCUCGUUAAAAGCUCCGUUAAAUCAAAGAUAGUGGGGUAGACCUUUGUUUUUAGCGAAGGAGAAGGAGCAAGGAGCUAAAGAAAGUUGCUGGAGAAGUUCUCUCUUUUUUUCACAAGGAAGAACUUCAACAUCACUGAUGGUGAAGAAACAAUCAUGUAAGCUCAUUUAGAAGAAAAUUUCAAAUUUUUGAUGUAGGUUUUAGUUUAGUAGGCCAUGUUCACACAUUUUUUUGCAAAACCUUAUCCACAAUAUAUUUUAUACAUCUUGUCCACAGUAAUUUGAAGAGAUGUUUAACUAAGCCAUGUUUACACAUUUUUUCACAAAACCUUGUCCACAAUACAUUUUAUACAUCUUGUCCACAAUACCUUGAGAUGUUUCACUUGAUUGACAGCUUAAUGAAGAUAAAGAGAUGACUUGACUUA